AUUGAACGCUGGCGGCAGGCUUAACACAUGCAAGUCGAGCGAGCGGCGGACGGGUGAGUACUGUCUGGGAAACUGCCUGAUGGAGGGGGAUCACUACUGGAAACAGUAGCUAAUACCGCCUACCCUCAGUUGUGCCCAGAUGGGAUUAGCUCGUAGGUGGGGUAAUGGCUCACCUAGGCGACGAGCCCUAGCUGGUCUGAGAGGAUGACCAGCCACACUGGAACUGAGACACGGUCCAGACUCCUACGGGAGGCAGCAGUGGGGAAUAGUGGACAAUGGGGGAAAGCCGGAUGCAGCCAUGCAGCGUGUGUGAAGAAGGCCUUCGGGUUGUAAAGCACUUUUAGCGGGGAGGCGUUACUCGCAGAAGAAGCACAGGCUAACUCCGUGCCAGCCGCCGCGGUAAUUC
rnacentral:rRNA from 1 species